rnacentral:rRNA from 1 species
UACAGAGGUCUCAAGCGUUGUUCGGAUUCAUUGGGCGUAAAGGGUGCGUAGGCGGCGCGGUAAGUCGGGUGUGAAAUCUCGGAGCUUAACUCCGAAACUGCAUUCGAUACUGCCGUGCUUGAGGACUGGAGAGGAGACUGGAAUUUACGGUGUAGCGGUGAAAUGCGUAGAUAUCAGGAGGAACACCGGUGGCGAAGGCGGGUCUCUGGGCCGUAACUGACGCUGAGGAGCGAAAGCGUGGGGAGCAAACAGG